rnacentral:rRNA from 1 species
ACCUAAACUAGCCCUAUCAUACAUACAACCUAACUAUAUACAUACCCAUAAAACAAAACAUUUGACAUUAACAAGUAUUGGAGAAAGAAAGUUAUUAUAGGAGCUAUAGAAAAAGUACCGCAAGGGAAAGAUGAAAGAUUAUUUUAAAGUGAUAACAAGCAAAGAUUAAACCUUGUACCUUUUGCAUAAUGAGUUAACUAGAACACCCCUAGCUAAGAGACCUUAAGCUAGACACCCCGAAACCAAACGAGCUACCUAAAAGCAGUACAAAGAACUAACCCGUCUAUGUAGCAAAAUAGUGGGACGACUUCUAGGUAGAGGUGAAAAGCCUACCGAGCUUGGUGAUAGCUGGUUACCCAAUAAAGAAUUUUAGUUCGACUUUAAGAUUACCAUAUGAAACACAAAUCAAAAUGUAACCUUAAAAUCUAGCCUCAAGAGGGACAGCUCUUCAGGAAUGGAAACAACCUUUUAUAGUGAAUAAAUCCUAUCAAACUAACCCUUGUUGGCUUAAAAGCAGCCACCAAUAAAGAAAGCGUUAAAGCUCAACACUAUAACAACUUAAAAUACCAAAAGCCAAAAUGAAUUCCUAUAUUUACUAAUUGGGUCAAUCUAUAAUUCUAUAGAUGAGAUACUGUUAACAUGAGUAACAAGAACACUGUUCUCCGAGCACAAGCCUAUAACAACCCGGAUAACCAUUGUUAGUUAACAACGUCAGGUGAACAAUUCACUUAUAGAUCCACCUAACAUGAAACUGUUAAUCCAACACAGGCGUGCUACUAAGGAAAGAUUAAAAGAAGUAAAAGGAACUCGGCAAACAAGAAUCCCGCCUGUUUACCAAAAACAUCACCUCUAGCAUAACAAGUAUUAGAGGCAUCGCCUGCCCAGUGACAAACGUUCAACGGCCGCGGUAUCCUGACCGUGCAAAGGUAGCAUAAUCACUUGUUCCUUAAUUGGGGACUGGAAUGAAUGGCUUCACGAGGAUUCAACUGUCUCUUACUUCCAAUCAGUGAAAUUGACCUCCCCGUGAAGAGGCGGGGAUGCUAAAAUAAGACGAGAAGACCCUAUGGAGCUUUAAUUUACUAACCCAACUUAAAAUAGAAUCCCUCUAUUGAGCCAAACAACAAAGACAUGGGUUAGUAAUUUCGGUUGGGGUGACCUCGGAGAAUAAGACAACCUCCGAAAGAUUUUAACUGAGACUAACAAGCCAAAGUAAUAAACAUCCAAUUGACCCAAUCUUUUUGAUCAACGGACCAAGUUACCCUAGGGAUAACAGCGCAAUCCUAUUUGAGAGUUCAUAUCGACAAUUAGGGUUUACGACCUCGAUGUUGGAUCAGGACAUCCCAAUGGUGCAGCAGCUAUUAAUGGUUCGUUUGUUCAACGAUUAAAGUCCUACGUGAUCUGAGUUCAGACCGGAGUAAUCCAGGUCGGUUUCUAUCUAUUAACUAUUUCUCCCAGUACGAAAGGACAAGAGAAAUGAGGCCUCCUUUACCAAAGUGCCUCUAAACUAAUAUAUGAAAUUAUCUAAAUUUAGUAAGUUUGUAUAAUCACGCCCUAGACAAGGGCUCA